rnacentral:misc_RNA from 1 species
AAAUACAAUCAAAUUUCAGCAUUGUGUUGAAAUUUGGAUCAUGUCAAAGAAGCUAUUACUGUUAUUGUGAUAUCUCUUUGGAAAUCAAUAGGUCUUCAAGUUGCUAUUCAUGGAACGUGAUGAAAAUUACUUCGUUCUUUUGUAGUUGUCUUGAAUAGUCCUAAAACUUGUAUGCCUUAGGCAUAUCUUAUG